rnacentral:rRNA from 1 species
UACGUAGGGGGCUAGCGUUGUCCGGAAUCAUUGGGCGUAAAGAGCGUGUAGGCGGUCCGGUAAGUCCGCUGUGAAAGUCAGGGGCUCAACCCUUGGAAGCCGGCCGAUACUGUCGGACUAGAGUCCGGAAGAGGCGAGUGGAAUUCCCGGUGUAGCGGUGAAAUGCGCAGAUAUCGGGAGGAACACCAAUGGCGAAGGCAGCUCGCUGGGACGGUACUGACGCUGAGGCGCGAAAGCGUGGGGAGCAAACAGG